UCAUAUAUAGGGUAAUAAUCACGUGCUCACAGCUGCCCCUCUUUGUCUGAAAGCACGAAGAGUUUUCGUGCAAAGAUAAAGUAAGCGGAUACGAGCAAUUUUUGCCCGUUGGAGUACUCUGUGUGAAGCAUUUUUUGAAAGUUUUGACCGAACAUUUGCUUUGAAGGUUUCCUACAUAUCCCUGGAUAAAAGGGAAUCAGGUCAAUGUAGUUCGGAAAGUUUUGAUAGCUGGGACUACCAGGGUGAUUGCGAUUCUCCUGUUACUGCUGCUGUAUGAUAUUACUAGUGCUUACUGAUCUCCUUAUUACCCCGUGUCAAAGACAAAAACAAGAAGCUAAGCUAGCCUACGGAUCACAAGAUCCUAUAUAUCUUCAAUUUGUUUUUGCAGGCCUUGCUUUCUUGUCAGCUUGUGUUUCUUCCGGUGCUUUUUUCUUCCGAGAGCCUGGGGAUGACACUGACCUUUUGCCUGUCUGAACACUCGUUUUCAUUAAUCUUUGCUUGGUUUGCUGGGGAUAUGGCUUCCCUCAUUACGCUUCUUGGCAAUUUCACUAGGGAGAUGGUUUUCUUUCAUCAGCAUUUGUUAUGCUGGGGCUUUUGUUGUAACCUUCUGCCUUCCGGGGGUUACCAAUUUCAAGUCAUAAUUGCAAAGCUAUAUGACUGGAGUUAUAUGUGAUGCGAUUAUAUGAGAUGUAGAUGCAAAGUGACACAUAUUCAUAUGAGAUGUAGAUGCAAGAUGACGCGUAGUCAUAUGAGAUGUAGAUGCAAAGUGACACGUAGUCACAUAAGAUGUGGAUGCUAAAUGACACGUAGUUAUAUGAGAUGUAGAUGCAAAGUGACACGUAGUCACAUGAGAUGUAGGAUGCAAAGCUAUAUGACACGUAGUCAUAUGAGAUGAAGUCAUAACUUGAAUUCGGUUUCCACCCCUUUACGAGGAAAUUUUCGACAAAGGUAGAAAAUUUUCUGCCCUAGUUCUCGCGCUCUCCCUUGUGGUACGCCCUUCUGCCAUUAUCAAAAUUUAUUUUUUUUGCUUCAAAUCAAAGAAACUUUAUUAGUUCAAAACAUGGUUAGUGGUUGUGCCACUCCUGCCAGGGAUUCUCUUGGAAGUUGGUCCACGUUUUCCAAACUGUUGCCUUUCCAGCAUUUCCCAUACUUCUCCUGAUAUUCUGGACCCAUCCGGUGGA
rnacentral:lncRNA from 1 species